rnacentral:rRNA from 1 species
AGUGAACGCUGGCAGCGUGCCUAACACAUGCAAGUCGAACGAUGAUGGAGGAGCUUGCUCUUCCUGAUUAGUGGCGCACGGGUGAGUAACGCAUAGGUAAUGUGCCCCUUAGUCUGGGAUAGCCACUGGAAACGGUGAUUAAUACUAGAUACUCCUUCUUGUCUCAAGGCAAGUCGGGAAAGUUUUUCGCUAAGGGAUCAGCCUAUGUCCUAUCAGCUAGUUGGUGAGGUAACGGCUCACCAAGGCUAUGACGGGUAUCUGGUUUGAGAGGAUGAUCAGACACACUGGAACUGAGACACGGUCCAGACUCCUACGGGAGGCAGCAGUGAGGAAUAUUGCACAAUGGAGGAAACUCUGAUGCGGCAACGCCGCGUGGAGGAUGACGCAUUUCGGUGUGUAAACUCCUUUUAAGAGGGAAGAUUAUGACGGUACCUCUUGAAUAAGCACCGGCUAACUCCGUGCCAGCAGCCGCCGUAA